UGUAGAUGAAAUGGUUAAAAUUGGGCUCUG
rnacentral:piRNA from 1 species